ensembl:rRNA 5S_rRNA 5S ribosomal RNA
GUCUGCGGCCAUACCACCCUGAACACACCCAAUCUCACCUGAUCUUGGAAGCUAAGCAGGGUCCAGCCUGGUUAGUACUUGGAUGGGAGAUACACUUAAAAUAUACACAUAUUUGAAGUAUACAAGAAAAUGAGUUU